rnacentral:rRNA from 1 species
AUUGAACGCUGGCGGCAGGCCUAACACAUGCAAGUCGAACGAGUGGCGGACGGGUGAGUAAUGUCUGGGAAACUGCCUGAUGGCGGGGGAUAACUACUGGAAACGGUAGCUAAUACCGCAUACCAUCGGAUGUGCCCAGAUGGGAUUAGCUAGUAGGUGGGGUAACGGCUCACCUAGGCGACGAUCCCUAGCUGUGCUGAGAGGAUGACCAGCCACACUGGAACUGAGACACGGCCCAGACUCCUACGGGAGGCAGCAGUGGGGAAUAUUGCACAAUGGGCGCAAGCCUGAUGCAGCCAUGCCGCGUGUAUGAAGAAGGCCUUCGGGUUGUAAAGUACUUUCAGCGGGGAGGCGUUACCGGAAGAAGAAGCACCGGCUAACUCCGUGCCAGCAGCCGCGGUAAUAC